UGAUAAUCCGGAGGAAAGAUGGGGACGACGUCAAGUCAUCAUGCCCCUUAUGUCCAGGGCUGCACGCAUGCUACAAUGGCAAGUACAACGAGUCGCAAUACCGCGAGGUGGAGCAAAUCUCUUAAAGCUUGUCUCAGUUCGGAUAGGAGUCUGCAACUCGACUCCUUGAAGUUGGAGUCGCUAGUAAUCGCAAAUCAGCAAAGUUGCGGUGAAUACGUUCUCGGGGUUUGUACACACCGCCCGUCAAGUCACGGAAGUCGGCAAUACCCGAAGCCAGUGGUCUAACCCUUUUAGGGAAGAAGCUGUCGAAGGUAGGGUCGGUAACUGGGACUAAGUCGUAACAAGGUAGCCGUACGGGAACGUGCGGCUGGAUCACCUCCUUUCUAAGGAGCAUAGAACUUCGGUUCUAAGGUCAAUCGUCGGUUGUCUACAAGACUGAUACUUUACUCAGCUGUGAAAAAGUCAAAUUGGCUUUUUGAAAAUUGUAUAGCAAGCGCAAUUGCAAAGUAUUCAUAUAGUUCAAGCUACUAAGGGCUAUUGGUGGAUGCCUUGGCGCUGGAAGCCGAUGAAGGACGUGGAAGACUGCGAAAAGCUACGGGAA
rnacentral:sRNA from 1 species